rnacentral:rRNA from 1 species
AACGAACGCUGGCGGCGUGGAUUAGGCAUGCAAGUCGAACGGAACUUCUAGCUUUUUCGGAAGUUUAGUGGCGAAAGGGUGAGUAACACGUGGGUUACCUGCCCUAGGGUUCGGGAUAACCUGUCGAAAGACGGGCUAAUACCGGAUACGUCCUGUGCUUUUCGAAGCACAGGGGAAAGAUGGGGAUCCGUAAGGACCUAUCACCCUUGGAUGAGCCCACGUCCGAUUAGCUAGUUGGUAGGGUAAAGGCCUACCAAGGCCACGAUCGGUAGCUGGUCUGAGAGGAUGAUCAGCCACACUGGGACUGAGACACGGCCCAGACUCCUACGGGAGGCAGCAGUGGGGAAUAUUGGACAAUGGGCGCAAGCCUGAUCCAGCAAUGCCGCGUGUGUGAAGAAGGCCUGCGGGUUGUAAAGCACUUUCAGUGGGGAAGAACAGGUUCGGGUCAAUACCCCGGAGCCCUGACGUUACCCACAGAAGAAAGCACCGGCUAACUCCGUGCCAGCAGCCGCGGUAAUGUAGU